CGGAACGCGACGCUGUGAUCGUCGGAGACUCCAUCGUCCGGCACGUCCGUGCUACGUUAGCUGAAGGUAAAGUGCACACUCACUGUUUCCCUGGUGCUCGUGUUUUCGAUGUUUCUGCGCAGAUACCCGUUAACCUUGAAGGGCGACGAGAGCAUCGGCGCUGUCGUGCUGCACGCGGGGGUUAACGACACCAAGCUGCGGCAGACGGAGACACUGAAGAGGGACUUCAGGAGCCUGAUCGAGACGGUACGCAGCACAUCGCCCGCGACGACGAUCAUCGUGUCAGGACCACUUCCCACGUAUUGACGAGGACACGAAAGGUUCAGUAGACUUUUUGCUUUAAACGAAUGGUUGUUGUCAUGGUGUAAAGAACAGAAACUGCUCUUUGUUAAUAAUUGGAAUCUUUUCUGGGAGCGUUCUAGGCUUUUCCGUGCUGAUGGCCUGCACCCCAGCAGAGUCGGAGCGGAACUCCUGUCGGACAACAUCUCCAGGACACUACGCUCCAUCUGACUAAAUCUGUCAUCUGCUCUAAUCACUAAUACCUGGAAUCCAAUGCGACAUGGAGCUGAUAGAUGGAGAGACAUAAGUACAGCCUGCAUAAAACUUGUGAUGCAAUAGCACAGCUAUAUUGAUUUCAACAGUCGCUGCCUCUGGAGGCAAACGUGACAGCAAACGUUCUUCAGUCAGAUGCACAGGAGCCCCAGAUCUGAGCUGUUUGUUCUGCAUGAUCAUCACCAAACGAAUUCAAAUUUUAGGAUUGUCUGAAGUAAAUGUGAGCAUGUUUGCCUGUGCUCCAGUGCUAGUUUCAAUUCAAUUUCAAUUUAUCUGCAAAGUGCUUUUCAAAAUACACAUUGUCCCAAAGCAGCUUUGCAAAGAAUACACCAUAUAGGAAAUCUAAAAUGGGUUUUCUUUCCACGAACUUAAACUGAUAGUCUAAUGAAUCAUUUAGUCACCAUCAUAUUGUGCCUAACUAUCUUUUAUUGUGGAAAAUAAAAAAGGACACUGA